UACGUAGGGUGCAAGCGUUGUCCGGAAUUAUUGGGCGUAAAGAGCUCGUAGGCGGUCUGUCGCGUCUGCUGUGAAAACUCAGGGCUUAACCCUGAGCUUGCAGUGGGUACGGGCAGACUAGAGUGCGGAAGGGGCUACUGGAAUUCUCGGUGUAGCGGUGAAAUGCGUAGAUAUCGAGAGGAACACCUGCGGCGAAGGCGGGUAGCUGGGCCGACACUGACGCUGAGGCGCGAAAGCCAGGGGAGCGAACAGG
rnacentral:rRNA from 1 species